rnacentral:rRNA from 1 species
UACGUAGGGUGCGAGCGUUGUCCGGAAUUAUUGGGCGUAAAGAGCUCGUAGGCGGUCUGUCGCGUCGGUCGUGAAAACUUGGGGCUUAACCCUGAGCUUGCGGUCGAUACGGGCAUGACUGGAGUUCGGUAGGGGAGACUGGAAUUCCUGGUGUAGCGGUGAAAUGCGCAGAUAUCAGGAGGAACACCGGUGGCGAAGGCGGCAGCCUGGUUCGUACCUGACGCUCGGACACGACAGCAUGGGGAGCGAACGGG